GAAAUGCGAUAAGUAAUGUGAAUUGCAGAAUUCAGUGAAUCAUCGAAUCUUUGAACGCACCUUGCGCUCCUUGGUAUUCCGAGGAGUAUGCCUCUUUGAGUGUCAUUUCAUUCUCAACCCCUCCAGUUUUCUUUGACUGGCUUGGUAGCUUGGAAAGUGGGGGAUUGAUAUGCGGGCCUCUUUAGAGGUCGGCUCCCCUGAAAUGCAUUAGCGGAACCGUUUGCGGGAACUGUCACUGGUGUGAUAACUAUCUACGCCAAAAGACAACUGCUCUCUGGUAACUUCUGCUUCAAAUUGUCCACCUUGGGACAACGAUAUUUGAAUGCUUGACCUCAAAUCAGGUAGGACUACCCGCUGAACUUAA
rnacentral:misc_RNA from 1 species